AUACGGAGGGUGCAAGCGUUGUUCGGAAUCACUGGGCGUAAAGGGCGCGCAGGCGGUUUGGUAAGUCAGAUGUGAAAGCCCACGGCUCAACCGUGGAAGUGCAUUUGAAACUGCCAGACUUGAGUACCAGAGGGGAAAGUGGAAUUCCCGGUGUAGAGGUGAAAUUCGUAGAUAUCGGGAGGAAUACCGGUGGCGAAGGCGACUUUCUGGCUGGAUACUGUCGCUGAGGCGCGAAAGCGUGGGGAGCAAACAGGAUUAGAAACCCUAGUAGUCC
rnacentral:rRNA from 1 species